rnacentral:rRNA from 1 species
UACGUAGGGUGCAAGCGUUGUCCGGAAUUAUUGGGCGUAAAGAGCUCGUAGGCGGUCUGUCGCGUCGGCUGUGAAAACUCGGGGCUCAACCCCGAGCCUGCAGUCGAUACGGGCAGACUAGAGUGCGGUAGGGGAGACUGGAAUUCCUGGUGUAGCGGUGAAAUGCGCAGAUAUCUGGAGGAACACCGGUGGCGAAGGCGGCAUCCUGGACCGAUAUUGACGCUGAUGCGCGAAAGCCAGGGGAGCAAACGGG